UGCCCACUCCAGGGUCGGAUUCUGAGCUAGCUGCUUGGUGUUUGCUCACCACCGCGUACCCAGCACCUAGCUCUGCCCCGACCAGGAACUUCGGGACAGCACCCGUGUGAGAGGUUUCCAGGAGGCUCAGAUGAGAUAAAGAACUUGAAGUAACAGCCAGCUGCAGAAGAAUGAUGCAUGUGUGCCUCUGUUCAAGGAGAUGCUGAACAAUCCAUUUCUAACUGAUGAAUCAAUCACAUGCUGUGGUAUCUUCAUUACCUGUUUGAAAAGUUCUCUAGGACCAGGCUGGCUAUCUAAGAGAGAAAGUUAUCCUACUUCGGGGCAAGAAAUUUCUUGGCGUUUGUGGCUGAGGUCUUUAUUUUUCAAGGAGGUGUCCUCAUUUGCUGAAGACAAUUUCUUGGCUCAAAUGAACCAGCUCAACAGUCACCUGCGUUCACUGACAGACUGUUGCUUCCUAAU